rnacentral:rRNA from 1 species
AACCUCCGCAAUGUGAGAAAUCGCGACGGGGGGAUCCCAAGUGCCAUUCUUAACGGGAUGGCUUUUCAUUAGUGUAAAGAGCUUUUGGAAUAAGAGCUGGGCAAGACCGGUGCCAGCCGCCGCGGUAACACCUGCAGCUCUAGUGGUAGCAGUUUUUAUUGGGCCUAAAGCGUCCGUAGCCGGUUUAAUAAGUCUCUGGUGAAAUCCUGUAGCUUAACUAUGGGAAUUGCUGGAGAUACUAUUAGACUUGAGACCGGGAGAGGUUAGAGGUACUCCCAGGGUAGAGGUGAAAUUCUGUAAUCCUGGGAGGACCGCCUGUUGCGAAGGCGUCUAACUGGAACGGUUCUGACGGUGAGGGACGAAAGUUAGGGGCGCGAACCGGAUUAGAUACCCGGGUAGUCCUAACCGUAAACGAUGCGGACUUGGUGUUGGGAUGGCUUUGAGCUGCUCCGGUGCCGAAGGGAAGCUGUUAAGUCCGCCGCCUGGGAAGUACGGUCGCAAGACUGAAACUUAAAGGAAUU